rnacentral:rRNA from 1 species
GAUGAACGCUGGCGGUGUGCCUAAUACAUGCAAGUCGUACGCAUUCUCGUUUCUGAUUGACGGUGCUUGCACCUAAUUGACGAGACAUUGGAAUGAGUGGCGGACGGGUGAGUAACACGUGGGUAACCUGCCCAGAAGUGGGGGCUAACAUUUGGAAACAGAUGCUAAUACCGCAUAAAAGUCAAAAUCACAUGGUUUUGAUUUAAAAGAUGGCCUUUGUGCUAUCCCUUCUGUAUGGACCCGCGGAGUAUUAGAUAGUUGGUAAGGUAACGGCUUACCAAGGCAAUGAUACGUAGCCGAACUGAGAGGUUGAUCGGCCACAAUGGGACUGAGACACGGCCCAUACUCCUACGGGAGGCAGGAGUAGGGAAUCUUCCACAAUGGGCGCAAGCCUGAUGGAGCAACACCGCGUGAGUGAAGAAGGGUUUCGGCUCGUAAAACUCUGUUGUUAAAGAAGAACGUAUCUAAGAGUAACUGCUUAGGUAGUGACGGUAUUUAACCAGAAAGCCACGGCUAACUACGUGCCAGCCGCCGCCGUAA